UACGUAGGGUGCGAGCGUUAAUCGGAAUUACUGGGCGUAAAGCGUGCGCAGGCGGUGAUGUAAGUCAGAUGUGAAAUCCCCGGGCUCAACCUGGGACCUGCAUUUGUGACUGCAUCGCUAGAGUACGGCAGAGGGGGAUGGAAUUCCGCGUGUAGCAGUGAAAUGCGUAGAUAUGCGGAGGAACACCGAUGGCGAAGGCAAUCCCCUGGGCCUGUACUGACGCUGAGGAGCGAAAGCGUGGGGAGCGAACAGG
rnacentral:rRNA from 1 species